UACGUAGGGGGCAAGCGUUGUCCGGAAUCAUUGGGCGUAAAGAGCUCGUAGGCGGCUGUUCAAGUCGAACGUGAAAACUCGGGGCUCAACUCCGAGCCUGCGUUCGAUACUGGACGGCUAGAGUCUGGUAGGGGGACCUGGAAUUCCUGGUGUAGCGGUGGAAUGCGCAGAUAUCAGGAGGAACACCGGUGGCGAAGGCGGGGUCCUGGGCCAGUACUGACGCUGAGGAGCGAAAGCGUGGGGAGCAAACAGG
rnacentral:rRNA from 1 species